ACGAGAUGUAAGUAUUGCGUAAACGAAUGAUGAAAAUAUCGAGAUUUUAUUAGAAAAACAAAAAAGAAGAAAAGAAUAAUCAUUGUUAUCACUUUGAUCGAAGGAUAUGAAGAAAUAAUGAAGGGAAGGAGGAAAAUUGGUAGUCGCUUGAUGAGAUAUCAUUUAAAUAGGUUAGAUUGGCGAUGUUACAGUCGAUCAACGAGACGUAAGUAUUGCGUUAACAAAUAGUGAAAAGUAUCGAGAUUUCAUUAAAAAAAUAAAAGAGAAGGAAAGAAUAAUCCUAAUUAUCACUUUGAUCAAAAGAUAUGGAGAAAUAAUGGGAAGAAGAAAAUUGGCAGUCGCUUGAUGAGAUAUUGUUUAAGUAGGUUAGAUUGGCGAUGUUACAGUCGAUCAACGAGACGUAAGUAUUGCGUAAACGAAUGAUG